CCUACGGGAGGCAGCAGUGGGGAAUAUUGCACAAUGGGCGCAAGCCUGAUGCAGCCAUGCCGCGUGUAUGAAGAAGGCCUUCGGGUUGUAAAGUACUUUCAGCAGUGAGGAAGGUGGUGUCGUUAAUAGCGGCAUCAUUUGACGUUAGCUGCAGAAGAAGCACCGGCUAACUCCGUGCCAGCAGCCGCGGUAAU
rnacentral:rRNA from 1 species